UACGUAGGGACCGAGCGUUGUCCGGAUUCAUUGGGCGUAAAGAGCUCGUAGGCGGCUGCUCAAGUCGAAUGUGAAAACUCGAGGCUCAACCUCGAGCCUGCAUUCGAUACUGGGCGGCUAGAGUCUGGUAGGGGGAUCUGGAAUUCCUGGUGUAGCGGUGGAAUGCGCAGAUAUCAGGAGGAACACCAGUGGCGAAGGCGAUCCUCUGGUCCAUUAUUGACGCUAAAGCACGAAAGCGUGGGGAGCAAACAGG
rnacentral:rRNA from 1 species